CAAAGCCUUCGGGUGCUCGAGGAUGAGCUUGCGCCAUAUUAGCUUGUUGGUGGGGUAAUGGCCUACCAAGGUUAUGAUGUGUAGCCGGCCUGAGAGGGUGUACGGCCACACUGGAACUGCGACACGGUCCAGACUCCUACGGGAGGCAGCAGUGGGGAAUUUUGCGCAAUGGGCGAAAGCCUGACGCAGCGACGCCGCGUGGAGGAUGACGGCCUUCGGGUUGUAAACUCCUGUCAGAGGUGAAGAAAACCCUUCGGGGUCUGACGGUAACCUCAGAGGAAGCCCCGGCUAACUACGUGCCAGCAGCCGCGGUAAUACGUAGGGGGCAAACGUUGCUCGGAAUUACUGGGCGUAAAGGGUGUGUAGGUGGCUGAGCAAGUCUUAGAUGAAAUCCCGAGGCCUACCCUCGGAACUGUCUUCGAUACUGCUCAGCUUGAGGAUGGUUGAGGANAACGGAAUUCCCGGUGGAGCGGUGAAAUGCGUAAAUAUCGGGAGGAACACC
rnacentral:rRNA from 1 species